CAACGGUCACUUGUUACAGUCCCAUGAUCAGUGAAUCCUGGGAUUGAGGCCUGAAGGUUAAAUUUCCAUGAUCUGUGAGUGUUGGGAUCGAGGCCUAAAGGUUAAAGUCAUGUGAUCGCAUACCAAAAGCUCCUGCUGGUUUUACCUGCCUCCAGAUGAGUUAGCCUGAGCAACACUUUGGAACUUGUCCGUUGCGUUUGACAUGCUGGUAGAACUGCUUUUAAGUCGGCAUGAUUGAAGUCACCAGCAUCAAGGAAGGCACCAACUGG